rnacentral:rRNA from 1 species
CAAGUCGAACGCGUGUAGCAAUACACGAGUGGCGCACGGGUGAGUAACGCGUGGAUAUCUGCCUUUUGGUUCGGAAUAACCCCGGGAAACUGGGGCUAAUACCGGAUGGUUCCUACGGGAUAAAGAUUUAUCGCCAAAAGAUGAGUCCGCGUACGAUUAGCUAGUUGGUGAGGUAAUGGCUCACCAAGGCGACGAUCGUUAGCUGGUCUGAGAGGACGAUCAGCCACACUGGGACUGAGACACGGCCCAAACUCCUACGGGAGGCAGCAGUGGGGAAUAUUGGACAAUGGGGGCAACCCUGAUCCAGCCAUGCCGCGUGAGUGAUGAAGGCCUUCGGGUUGUAAAGCUCUUUUGGCGGGGACGAUGAUGACGGUACCCGCAGAAUAAGCCCCGGCUAACUUCGUGCCAGCAGCCGCGGUAAGACGAAGGGGGCUAGCGUUGUUCGGAAUUACUGGGCGUAAAGCGAGUGUAGGUGGUUGUCCAAGUUGGAUGUGAAAGCCUUGAGCUUAACUCAAGAAAUGCAUUCAGGACUGGGCGGCUAGAGGACCGGAGAGGAUAGUGGAAUUCCCAGUGUAGUGGUGAAAUACGUAGAGAUUGGGAAGAACACCAGUGGCGAAGGCGGCUAUCUGGACGGUUUCUGACACUAAAACUCGAAAGCGUGGGGAGCAAACAGGAUUAGAUACCCUGGUAGUCCACGCCGUAAACGAUGGGUGCUAGACGUUGGCGGGCUUGCCCGUCAGUGUCGCA